AAGCCUACGGGGGGCAGCAGUGGGGGAUAUUGCACAAUGGGGGGAACCCUGAUGCAGCGACGCCGCGUGGGUGAAGGAGUAUUUCGGUAUGUAAAGCCCUAUCGGCAGGGAAGAAGCAAGACGGUACCUGACUAAGAAACCCCGGCUAACUACGUGCCAGCAGCCGCGGUAAUACGUAGGGGGCGAGCGUUAUCCGGAUUCACUGGGUGUAAAGGGAGCGUAGACGGCCAAGCAAGCCAGGGGUGAAAGCCCGGGGCCCAACCCCGGGACUGGCCUUGGAACUGCUU
rnacentral:rRNA from 1 species